rnacentral:misc_RNA from 1 species
AAAGUGUGUUAUUCUGUACACUCCUGGGGUUGCUGUUUUAGGGAUUCUCCAUUCUAUGGUUGCAUGGCUCUGACUGCUAAGCUUGAACGGUCUCGACCACUUAAAACGUAGGCAGAAAUCGUCAUCGUCAUAGGCCGGAACCCACAGCUUUUUGUCUUGAAGAAUUUCCACCAGUGCAAAUGUACCUUCGGUCAUAAGAUCGUUG